UACAUACUCACUCCGUCUCAAAAUUUUUGUCUUAGAUUUGUCUAAAUACGGAUGUAUUGAUACAUCCGUAUUUAGACAAAUCUAAGACAAGAAUUUUGGGACGGAUGGAGUAGAAU
rnacentral:pre_miRNA from 1 species